CCUACGGGCGGCAGCAGUGGGGAAUAUUGCACAAUGGGCGCAAGCCUGAUGCAGCCAUGCCGCGUGUGUGAAGAAGGCCUUCGGGUUGUAAAGCACUUUCAGCGGGGAGGAAGGCGGUGAGGUUAAUAACCUCAUCGAUUGACGUUACCCGCAGAAGAAGCACCGGCUAACUCCGUGCCAGCAGCCGCGGUAAUACGGAGGGUGCAAGCGUUAAUCGGAAUUACUGGGCGUAAAGCGCACGCAGGCGGUCUGUCAAGUCGGAUGUGAAAUCCCCGGGCUCAACCUGGGAACUGCAUUCGAAACUGGCAGGCUAGAGUCUUGUAGAGGGGGGUAGAAUUCCAGGUGUAGCGGUGAAAUGCGUAGAGAUCUGGAGGAAUACCGGUGGCGAAGGCGGCCCCCUGGACAAAGACUGACGCUCACGUGCGAAAGCGUGGGGAGCAAACAGGAUUAGAUACCCCAGUAGUC
rnacentral:rRNA from 1 species